GAAUUUCUCAUUAAUUCCGUGGAUUCAGCUCCGAGCUUUCUUUCUAGAUCUAUCGAUCCCUAUUUUUUUUUUUUCGUUCAUCAAAUGAGAUGACUGAAUUUUCUUUUUGUUUUCCUAUUCACAUUCUAGAAAACUCAUUUUAUUAUUCCUCUCGUGGGGCUUUGGAUGAUUCCCAGUCCAGGCUUGUCUCCGUUUCUUUGGGCGCCUGCGUCACUCUGCUCCUGCAACUUUUACCGUCGGUUAAGAAACGCAUAAAUAGUCGAUGGAUGCCUGACUCGCUCCGUACUCUUCGUUUCCAGCUGGUCGCAUGCUAUAAGCUUAAGCCAGACUUUUCGUUGAUAAUGCAAGUGCUUCGCUAUUGAGAGCCACGCGCAUUGUGCACGUAGGGAGCAGCGGCGAGUCAGCGCGGAUGUUGUUGUUCUUCUUGCUCCGGAAAACACUCUCUCGAAAAAGUAACAACAAAAUCCUCCAACAGGAUCAGUUCAGAAGAGUCUGAGUGAAGCGCAAAUACACAGGUGGGGAAGAUUGGAAGGGGGGAAACAAAUCCGAUCCAUAAGAACAGGAACCACCCUGACAUAGGGGCGAUGAAUGUAACCGACGUCAUUCGGCCGGGGUAGUUUUGCGCCGACGCCAACAACCAACCCAACAACAGCGAUGACGUCGUCGGUAUCUGUCAGCGAGCACCAGCCUCCGACGGUGCCCUUGUUCCUUCAGCAGCAGCAGCAGCAGCAGCAGCACACUCGCCGCCAUAUUGGACGCCCCAUUCGUGUUUGGCCGUUCGCGAUGGAGUGUCUUGCAGAAACCGAGGCCGAGACGGAGCAGACAGCCGAAACGACGACCGGACACUUGGGAAAUUGUGAAGGCGUAACGGCGGCCGUCGUUACGUCGUCGCCGCAGCCGACCGUAAGCGCCAACAAGAAAGACACUCACAUCAAACAAGCAGGUGCCAACAGCCAAAGUAGAAAGCAGUCGCUGGACGGAACCAAGAAAAUUGUCGAAGCCGAAUCCGUGGGCUGCACUCCAUUCUUCGGUGUCAAGCACUACCUGAACAAUUUUUACGGCAUCACCGAUGGCGAUACUGACGCCAAAAUAGUGCGCAUCAUCGAACCUGAGGACGAAGAUGAUUACUUCGCUAUAAUGACGGCCGGGGCCGGCCAGAGUAAAAGCGAAGUCGAAUGUUGGCACGUACAUCGUCGAUGCUUCGCCUGGUCAUUCAGCGUCGGAACACUGGUUGUCCUGUUGGGCGUGACAUGUCUCCUCUUGGGUUUCCUGCUGCCUCGGCACUCGGCGCUCGUCAGCCAGAUGGAGGACAAUGACGUCAAGAUGUGGAUGUCGGCCCACUCCACCAACAGCGAACCGUCCAUCUCCUCGCUCAACAUCAUUGAUCGCCAGGCUAUCGAGCACAACAACGUGUUAGACACACUGAAAAUGGGCGGCGGGAUCGCCACUUGCUUCGGCUGUUUCUUGCUCCUCAUGACUCUCAUCUUUCCGCCCGGUAGUCAUCCGUCGAAGUGGGCCGACGAGGGAGAGACGUCACAAAUCAGUCAAAUUAAUCAGGCUCUCAAAAAUUGUCUACUCUCGGUCCAUUCGAAAAACCAUCCAACCUUCUUCUACUCCGGGCUGGUCGCAUCGACUACUAAUGAGAAAAUACCCGUUUUCCAGCAACUUCAGUCCGUUCAGCCCAAAGAUUAGUCGAAAAGUCUGAGCCCACUGAUCCUUAAAAUUUAUCAAAACACAUCAAGGUCGUGAAGAAUGCAGACCCAGCAUUGAAUACGUUUUCCCGUAAACUGUCGCCGUUCAAUGUUCUACACACAUAUAAAAUUAUACAAAAAAUAAAUAGACAUAUGAUUAAUUAUUAUUAAUUCUAUACAGUUAUACAUGUUUGACGAAUAUAAUUUACAAUAGAUACUCGUGUGCACAGUGCAGUAUAUACAUAUAAUGAAGUGAACCGGAGAGAAAUAUACAGAGCAUGGAAUAACAA
rnacentral:misc_RNA from 1 species